GAUAAACGCUGGCGGCGUGCAUAACACAUGCAAGUCGAACUAUGAAGCUUAACUGAUUUCUUCGGAAUGAUUUUAAGUGGAUUAGUGGCGGACGGGUGAGUAACGCGUGAGUAACCUGCCUUGCACAAGGGGAUAGCCGUUGGAAACGACGAAUAAUACCCUAUGAUAUAAACUCUUCGCAUGAAGGGCUUAUCAAAGAUUUAUCGGUGUAAGAUGGACUCGCGUCUGAUUAGCUAGUUGGUGGGGUAACAGCCUACCAAGGCAACGAUCAGUAGCCGGCUUGAGAGAGUGUACGGCCACAUUGGGACUGAGACACGGCCCAGACUCCUACGGGAGGCAGCAGUGGGGAAUUUUGCACAAUGGGGGAAACCCUGAUGCAGCGACGCCGCGUGAUUUAGAAGGCCUUCGGGUUGUAAAAAUCUUUUGUAUGGGAAGAAAAUGACAGUACCAUACGAAUAAGGACCGGCUAAUUACGUG
rnacentral:rRNA from 1 species